rnacentral:ribozyme from 13 species
AAAAAGAAAUGAGAGAAGAUAAAGAUAAAAGGAGAAGAUCUUACACAACUUCCGCAAUAUCUACCUCUUUCUCUUCUUCUAUUUCUUCUUCAUUCU